CCCUUAGAUGUCCUGGGCCGCACGCGCGCUACACUGAUGCAUUCAACGAGUCUAAAACCUGCUCUGAUAGGGGUGGGUAAUCUUUUGAAUGUGCAUCGUGAUUGGGAUAGAUGAUUGAAAUUUUUCAUCUUCAACGAGGAAUGCCUAGUAAACGCAAGUCAUCAGCUUGCAUUGAUUACGUCCCUGCCCUUUGUACACACCGCCCGUCGCUCCUACCGAUUGAAUGAUCCGAUGAAUAUCAUGGAUUGAGGAUGCAAGUAGGUUCACCUAUCUUCAUCUUCGAGAAGUGAAGUAAAUCUUAUCAUUUAGAGGAAGGAGAAGUCGUAACA
rnacentral:rRNA from 1 species